GGGCAGGUAAGAGGCAAAAUUAAUUAAGUCCUUUAAAUUGUUAGAUGCUUUCAAGCAGCCAGUCUGAGUUUUCCUUAAUUUAAUAGGUGCUCAGAUGGAAGUAGAUUAUACAGAGCAACUGAAUUUCAGUGAUGAUGAUGAACAAGGAAGUAACAGUCCUAAAGAAAAUAACAGUGAGGAUCAAGGUUCAAAAGCCUCUGAAAACAAUGAAAACAAAAAAGAAA
rnacentral:sRNA from 1 species